CGUGAGUGAAGAAGGCCUUCGGGUUGUAAAGCUCUUUUGUCCGGAACGAAAAGGUUACGGUGAAUAUCCGUGACUACUGACGGUACCGGAAGAAUAAGCACCGGCUAACUACGUGCCAGCACCCGCGGUAAUACGUAUGGUGCGAGCGUUAAUCUGAAUUACUGGGCGUAAAGCGUGCGCAAGCGGUUUUGUAAGCCAGAUGUGAAAUCCCCGGGCUUAACCUGGGAAUGGCAUUUGGGACUGCAAGGCUGGAGUUUGGCAGAGGAAACUGGAAUUCCUGGUGUAGCAGUGAAAUGCGUAAAUAUCAGGAGGAAUACCGAUGGCGAAGGCAGGUCUCUGGGCUAUAACUGACGCUCAUGCACGAAAGCGUGGGGAGCAAACACGAUUAGAUACCCUGGUAGUCCACGCCCUAAACGAUGUCGACUGGUUGUUGGGAGUUUGACACUCUCAGUAACGAAGCUAACGCGUGAAGUCGACCGCCUGGGGAGUACGGCCGCAAGGUUAAAACUC
rnacentral:rRNA from 1 species